rnacentral:misc_RNA from 2 species
ACACCCUCAAGCUCUGCUUGGUGUUGGGCGUCUGUCCCGCCUCCAUUCUUGCGCGGACUCGCCUCAAAGCGAUUGGCGGCUGGUAUGAUGGCCUGGAGUGCAGCACAUUGCGCCCCUUGCCCUGAGGCCGGCUCCCAGAAGCUCAACCCCCCACA